AGAAAAGUUGGAGAGAAUCUCGUGGAGAAUAGAAAAAAGCAGAUGGAGGCUGGUCAGGAGUUUGCCAAGCUAAGUCCAAAGAAAGGGAUUCUCAGCACUGAGGUUGAUUGCCUGUUUUAUGAGAUAUGGAGCUCCGUUAUGUGUAUUUCAGGCUUAGCUUAAUAGUUAUUAGUAGAAAUGCAGAUACAGCAUGUUAUUGUACCUCCAAAGCAGCAAAGCUUCUGCACCACAGUCCACACACUUAAUGUUUUUUUUUAAUGAAUAAAACAGAAC
rnacentral:misc_RNA from 1 species